UACGUAGGGGGCAAGCGUUGUCCGGAAUCAUUGGGCGUAAAGAGCGUGUAGGUGGCUCGGUAAGUCCGCUGUGAAAGUCCAGGGCUCAACCCUGGAAUGCCGGUGGAAACUGUCGAGCUCGAGUCCGGAAGAGGCGAGUGGAAUUCCUGGUGUAGCGGUGAAAUGCGCAGAUAUUAGGAGGAACACCAAUGGCGAAGGCAGCUCGCUGGGACGGUACUGACACUGAGACGCGAAAGCGUGGGGAGCAAACAGG
rnacentral:rRNA from 1 species